CCACCCUACCAUAUGGAAUCUCGAGAACCGUAGGGCCUAGGAGGUCCACCUUUUUUUUGUAUGUUGGUCUUAAGGGGGCAUGUCAACCCAUCCCAUUACCACUUAUUUCAUGUAUAGCGCCACCUACACUGUAAAUUAAUCCUGUUGCCACGGAAAUUACACCAAAAAAAUUAAGUAUGACUUAAUUUCUUGAAGCAGUCGCCUUAAAAAAAUAACUAUUAUGUGUUUCCCCAAAUAAAUCAACUACAUUUGCGAGAAAAAAAAUCAGAGAAAAUGCUCCCUAAAAGAAUUGUGGGAAGUUGCACAAUUUCUCGCUGAUAAAUGUGCAGCCUUUUCCUCAAAUAUUUUAAACAUCUGAAAAACGUCCUUCAGUUGAGAUUUUGAAAAGAAUGCCUCGAAGACGGACGCCAUUGAAGUUCAGCAUGGAAUAGUAAAAGGGUUGGCAAAAUGCUCAUCAAGGUCCAGUACCGUGGACUAAAAAAGUACCUCAAACUGCAGCCUGGUUUUUCUUAUGAAAGCAGAGCUGCCAACCCUCACGCAUUUGAUUGGUGUAAAAGCGUGUUGAGCCAAUCAAAUGAAUGAAUCUCACUCUCAAUGUGUGAGAGUUGGCAGCUCUGAUGAAAGUUUCAUUGAAGAAGAAUUUGUGCCAGCAGGUUCUUCUACUCUAAAUUCUUCACUUUUCUGAAGUGAUAUGGAGAGGUCCUCUUCAAACAAGGGACAUCAAUCUACUGGUGCAGGAGAGAACACCUCUGCCAUAGGGGAUGCAGCAGAAAAGGCCAAAUGGAUGGUCCAGGAGGUUCUGGGAGUUCAGGGGGAGAGGAAACAAUGGAGGAGUAUAAGAGAUUGAGCACCUUGACACACUGCACAAGACGGCAUCAUAUCCUUGUCAGCCACAUUGUUGAAAUGCAUGGGAACUCUGGAUCUCAUUCAUCAUCAUUGGGUCCUUGGUUACCUGUCUGACC